AAAAAUUUAAGUUAAAAAAACUAUUGACCUUCAAAGUCAAAAUUAGAAAAUAAUUCUAAUUUUUA
rnacentral:tRNA from 1 species